ensembl:lncRNA
ACUACAGGGGACUCCUGGAAACUGCUGGGCAGGCUGGACAUUUAAAACAGACAUAGGCUAAUGAAGCAAGUACGACAGUUACCCACCUUUCGUGACUGAAGACGCUGAAACUCAGCAGUUUUAGAACCCAAGCUCUCUGACUCCAAGCUUGCGCUAGUGACCGUCAGUUUCUCUAGCACGUUACCUGGCUGAGCUUUCAGCGAAAGCACAAACGCGUGCAGGAGCCGGGGGGUCCCUGGCCAGGUUUCCAGCUGGGGCUGCUGGUUUAUACUGACAUCAUAAACCCUGGGAUGGAAGUAAUUUUGAAAGUUUUCAGAGCAAUGCCUGAUGGAAAACCUGUCACCGCUCAGGAGGCUGAACAAGCCACUCGAUUCCUAUGGAUUCGAGUCUAUGGAAGAGGAGAUAAGGAGGUCAAUCCUAGGACUGAGUUGGAUAUCACAUCAGCACACUGACCGGUGUCUUCUCUCUGAACUGGUGAAGCACUGCUUGAUUGGCAGCAUAGGGCUGUCUCCCAUGCUCAUUCUUGCUGUUCGUUUUGUUUUUCCGUUUUAUGUGAUAAAUGUUAUUCUAGCUGAUGGGCACUUUGAUCAGCUUGUCUCACAACUUUUCUUUGAAAAUCGCAUGUUCCCUUUCAGAAGAUUUCUCGGCAAAAAUGGUUUUAAAUUAAGUCAUCAAAGAAAAAAUAAUGCACAGAGGCCAAUUAAUAUGCUCACUGAAAUGGACUGUGCUCCUUCUUCUUUCUUUAAUCCUGACCCACGCAGUUAA